AGGAAAAGAAACUAACAAGGAUUCCCCUAGUAACGGCGAGUGAAGCGGGAAGAGCUCAAAUUUGAAAUCUGGUAGCCUUCGGUUGCCCGAGUUGUAAUCUAGAGAAGUGUUUUCCGUGCCGGCCCAUGUACAAGUCCCUUGGAACAGGGCGUCAUAGAGGGUGAGAAUCCCGUCCUUGACAUGGACCCCCGGUGCUUUGUGAUACACUUUCAACGAGUCGAGUUGUUUGGGAAUGCAGCUCAAAAUGGGUGGUGAAUUCCAUCUAAAGCUAAAUAUUGGCGAGAGACCGAUAGCGAACAAGUACCGUGAGGGAAAGAUGAAAAGCACUUUGGAAAGAGAGUUAAACAGUACGUGAAAUUGUUGAAAGGGAAACGAUUGAAGUCAGUCAUGCUCUUGGGACUUACCUCCCUUGAGUGGGGUCAACAUCAGUUUUGAUCGAUGGAUAAAGGCACGGGGAAGGUAGCACUCUCGGGUGAACUUAUAGCCUCGCGUCAUAUACAUUGAUUGGGACUGAGGAACGCAGCAUGCCUUAUGGCCGGG
rnacentral:rRNA from 1 species